rnacentral:rRNA from 1 species
AACGAACGCUGGCGGCAUGCCUAACACAUGCAAGUCGAACGAGACCUUCGGGUCUAGUGGCGCACGGGUGCGUAACGCGUGGGAACCUGCCCUUAGGUUCGGAAUAACUCCCCGACAGGGGUGCUAAUACCGGAUAAUGUCUUCGGACCAAAGAUUUAUCGCCUUUGGAUGGGCCCGCGUUGGAUUAGCUAGUUGGUAGGGUAAAAGCCUACCAAGGCGACGAUCCAUAGCUGGUCUGAGAGGAUGAUCAGCCACACUGGGACUGAGACACGGCCCAGACUCCUACGGGAGGCAGCAGUGGGGAAUAGUGGACAAUGGGCGAAAGCCUGAUCCAGCAAUGCCGCGUGAGUGAUGAAGGUCUUAGGGUUGUAAAGCUCUUUUACCCGGGAUGAUAAUGACAGUACCGGGAGAAUAAGCUCCGGCUAACUCCGUG